AGUGUGAGGUUCAGCAGGGAGCUGAAGGUCCUGUUCUCGCCUCACAGACCAUUUAAUAGCUGAAGUAACAUCCCAACAGUUGUUACUGAUAUCAUUUGUUUAUAAUAUCAACAAUAUUGUGAAUAUAGAAUGAAGUGACGGAGGGAGCAGACCUGGGGUGCCAGCGUAGCCUCUGGUUCUGAACUGAUCAUCCGCCAGCUCAACAGCCAGACCCAAGUCAGAGAUGCGGACGUUUCCUGCGAGAGAGGAAGAGAGUUGGCGUUUGUCUCUGUAUAGCAAGGUACACAGCAGCCUCUCACCUCGGUUGUCCAGCAGCACAUUUUCAGGUUUAAGAUCUCGGUAGAUGAUUCUCUUCUGGUGGAGAUGCUCCAGGCCCUGGAUAAUCUGAGCGGUGUAGAAGCAGGACCGCUGCUCCCCAAAUCCUGGGUUGUCUUCAUCCACAUUAUAUAUGUGGUACCUGUGUCAACAUUUAUGAGCACUCGGUUUAAUUUUUAAUUUUUACAAUGAAAUCCAACAUUCUGUCCCCUGAAAAAUGAUCAUCCAACUAGAAUCGUAUGUUCUCGGAUCUAAUCUGAAACUGGAUGCAGCUUCAUAUCGACUUUUUACUGAGGGUCAUGUACAGGUCUCUAUGAGACGUCGUUUGAUUUUCGUUUGAGUCUGACCUCAAGUCUCCCCCGUUCAUGAUGGUCAUGAUGAGGCAGAGCUCAGUUUUGGUCUGGAAAGCGUAGGCCAGUGACACGAUGAACCUGCUGUGGACUCGAGCCAGGAUUCUCUUCUCCACCAUCGCCCCCUGUAGGACAGGAGAAGACUGCAGUGUUAUAUUUUUACAUUAUGAUAGCGCUCUGACUUGUACGUUCUUUAAAAGAGAUUCCACAGCUGCCUCAGCUGCACCAUAGAAGCUCACAAUGUUCUGAGGCGAUGACACUAAUCAUAUAAGCCAGGUGUUUCAGCCUCUUCUGUUUCAGUUUUACAAUGUCUUCUUGUCAAAUUAAAUCAAUCACUCUGCUAAGAGAGAUGAGAAUAAAACAGACGAGAAUAGAGGAUGAUUUAUGUGUCCUUCAAAAGACCUAACCCUCUCAAGAUACUAUAAAGUAUCUAAAAUGAAGAAAUGUGACCCAAACAAAUGCGGCCUCUGGUUUAUGGCUGGUGAUCUCUUCUCACGUUCUGCUUCCUGAUCUACAACACAGUGUUCAGCCCCCUCAUACCUCAUACCCUCUCCUCUUCUUCAGCCUCUUCUUGUUGAGCUUCUUGCAGGCGUACAGUUUUCCCGUCGCCUUCAUCUGGCAUGCCGACACUUCCCCAAAACCUCCUUUCCCCAAAAUACGGAAAUCCAAAAACCAGUCCUCCUCUGUGGGCUGAGUCUCCAGCCACUUCCACUGCAGGAACCUUUUCAGAUACAUGCUGUCCUGAAAGAAAGCGAAGGGCACCGUUUUGAGAAAGUCCAUCAAGGCGUCCGAGAUUUCCUUGAAUAGAUCCCCGCCAGCAUCCUGGUGUUGAGCUUUAACCUUUGCGAUGCAGUUUUUCGGGAGGAAGGGACAGAAAUACUUAGCGUCUGGCUCCAUGUAGCGAGUCAAAAUCUUCCCGGCUGUCUGGAGCCUGUCCUCGUCUUCUGCCAUGUUGUACUGCUCCACAUCCUUCCACAGGUGACACACACCUCUGUACUCCUUGUUGGACUCAAGGAACUCCUGGAAAAGUCUCUUGCCAAUGGGUUGCUCGACACAGACGGACUGGAAGUCCAAAUCUAAGGGUUGGUGGUGCCAUCAAAACUGGCCCGGGCAGAGAUGUAGGCCGAGUUAGCCACCACCGUCGUCAGGCCACCGAUGUCCAUGGCGACAAGAGAAGCAGGACGCGACUCUCACUCACCUACAGACCUACCCAGAUCCUCACGGAGGGAUUUAUCCAGUCACUUUCUCAGCACCGCCUGAUCCAAUAGCUACGACUCAAGAGGUGCAGACAACAAAAGGACUCUGAGGAGACUUCACUGAGGGUGUAUGGAGCCCAGAGUUCAACAUAUUGAAACAUUAUAGCAGUUGAGUACUGUUAUGUUCGCGGUCUCAAAUACAUCAGGUCUUCUGACUUGCUGUGUCGCGGCUAGAAUGUUUCACAUGAAGAUGGUAAAUGUCUGUGUGGUAUUUGAUUUAGCACUGCACAAUGUGAGUAUAAGUGAUAAGAGGAGAAAUGAGACAGUUAGUGGCAUCAGUGUCACUUCAGUGUGUGCUGACGAAAAUAAGUAAUAGGAUUCACUUGUGAGCGUCGAUUAUAAAACUGCUGACAUUUAACUACUUAUCAGCUUACGGGCACACACACACACACACACACACACACAGGUUUGUUGCACUGUGGGGACCGCUCACUGACAUAACCCUUUCCCCAGCCUCUCACCUGAAACCUAACCAUCCAAAACAAUUGGCUAACCUUAACCUGGAGUCUGAGCCAAACUGAAACCCAUCUAUAAUGACCCUGUUAUUUAAAUUGGAAAAAAAAAUGGACAAAUUUUUUUAAAAGAAAUUAUGGAUUCUGAUGUAAAAAAAAAACCAGACAAAAAUAUGUAAUAUAAAAUAAGGAAAUAAAGAGCAUCUUGAGCAAUCUCGCUGAAAACAAUCUGGUGGAAAAAAACACGAUUUUCGUGUCACAAAAUGCCUUAAAAAGACUUAUAAUUCCUUUAUAAUAAGAGAAGUGACCCAUUUUACACAAAAAUGUCAGAAGAAUUCAAAUGUUAUGUAAUUUAAUUAUGACUUCUUGGAAAGAAUGAACAUGUCAAGACUCAGGUGAAUUGUUAAGACUGGAAUGUGUUUUUCUUUGCGUACAAUUUAUGGAAUUUUUCAAAGCCCAAGAGAAAAAAAAAUCACUUGGAUAGUUGAGGUAGAUCUCCAGUUGCCUGAAACUCAAUGAAUAUCCAUCUUCAAUGGCCCACCAAUAAUGGGCAGACCAGCCUUUUAUACUCUAAAUCCCAUAAUGCACUGCAACAGUUAGACUCUCAUAACAAGAUGAAAAUGUAGAACUUCAGCUUGAAAAUUCAAUAACCGGUUUGUCAGACUAUUUAUUCCACAUUCCUCCAUUUCUGCUCAUCCUUAAAUGCAAACCAGUUCAGUGAAAAGAGAAGACCAAUAGAGCCAAUAAAACAAGAACAUCUGGACGAACCAGUCAGGCCACCAGAGGUGGACCAGACUUCUGCUUGUGGGAAAAUUUAGCCGACGGAGCGCUACAGUUGUGUGGUGAAACAAAGCCAGCAAUCCAGGUCGCUUUCCCUUUUUAAUUCAAAAUGUGUUUCAAUAAAUAAAAUAAGUGACUGGAAUGAAGUCCAAACAUUUCUCGCUACAUUCAGAUCAAAAGGACAAAUACGUAAACGGCAUCCAUCAAACAAAGGUUUGAUGAUUGACUCACUAACAGAGAUGUCAGAAAGGGAAACAAAAGGUCGGAAGUUACGUUUGACAUCAAGUACUUUUUACGCAGUGCAAGAUUCUCACAUUCCAAACAGUUUGCUGUGCACUCAGGUAACUUAUAAUUAAUGUAAACAGUAGCUCAGGAUUGUUAAGGCAAACAUUUAAUCACAGUGAAAUGAAACACGUUUAAGGACUGAGUGACACUUUUCAUAUUAGCUGGCGGAUGUAAGACACCGACAGCACUGGAGAAUGAGUGGAGCAGUAAAGCAGCUGGCUAUAGUUUGGACUGCCAUUAUAUAUAGACUUGUGUAUCGGCAUUGGUAGAACAGGUGAAGGGGUUCUGCUGGAGCAACACGGGUCUGGGCAUAAGAACUGUCCCAGGGGCCCGUUGAGGCCCUCUGUUAGCAACUUUGCAGAUCUUUGGUGGUCUACAAGCAUUGUUGAAGAUUUUAAACUUUAAUUCUUGCCCCAUUUUUAUCAAGACUUUGCCAUGAAAAACAGCUUCUAAUGGUGUACAGAACUGCAUCUAUGUUCAUAUCAGAUUAGCUGUUAUCAAAUUAUGUGAAAUUUUUUUUUUGCUGAUAGGUAUUUUUUCAUAACUAUCAGCAGUAAGUAAGCUGAGAAAAACCAACAAAUAUUAUUAUAUAUUUUCUGAAGAGUUUCUGUGGAACAAUAAAUCCAUAUUAACUCAUGGGUGAAGGCGGCUAAUGUGCAACAGAGAUCAGUAGAAUGCAAUAGUUUCAAUAAUCUUAAAUGUGGAUCGGUUCUCCACUUACAUGAAUCUCCCUUCAGACAUUCUAAACAGUACUAUUCUAAACAAGAGGAGAGACAGAUGUGGGUGAUGUGAGGUGGUGACCCCUGAUGGGAAAUGCAGAUGAAGAAGAAAGCACUUGCGUUAAGUAAGUAAACCCUGCAUGUGCACCAGUGCAAACCAGAGGUGAAUAUUAAGAUCUUAUAAAAAUCUAACAAGAGAGAGCUCUCAGGCAAUAAAUAUCAAGUCAUGUCAUCAAAAAACUCCCCUUCUGUAAAUAACUACAACAAUUCAGCCUUAAUUCAAUAUAAAUGUAAAAGUGAGUUGCCAACAUCAGUGUUGAGCAUUGGUCACAUUUAAAGAACGGCACGUAGUACUUUAAAUUCUAAUGAUAAAGUUCAGAUUGUUCCUUUGUUUCGUUCACAAGUUUGCUGAUCUUUGGUUGACUGAUAUGUUUAACAUCAACCGAAGAGUCAGGUGAAUGUUGCCGGAAUUGUCUCUCAGAGCGUCACCGCCCAACGCUUCACUCAGGUCUUCGAUCCCUGGACCUUCUCCGGCCUCGCCACAAUUUUGCGUUCCGAGAGAUUGACCCAUCUGUGAGUGAAGACCUUCCACAGCACAGGCGCCAACAGGAGGCUCAGAGUCGUGACGCUGAGAACCAGCAGGUACACCUGAGGGAAUAAUAACCCGACGUCAGGAAUUCCAGAACCGGUCAAACAUGACUCAAAUUCAUUCAGUCAACCGCACACGCCCUCACAACGGUGAGAAAUGUUCUAAAAAAAUACAUCACAGGGCACAACAACAACAGAAUUCCAAGCACGUUGACCAGGUUAUUUUUAGCUUAAGUUGAAAAACAUGUUUUCACAACUAAAUUCACAACUAAUAAUCUGUGCUAACAAGGUAACACGUGAGAUUACAGUUAAUCCAGAGAGGGAUGAUCUGGUCUGUAUAUUGUAUCUGCUGUUGACUGCUGAUGCCACAUCUAGUCAGGAAAUCUGAUCUCGAGACGAGCGCAUAUGUGCAUGAACCCAGUAACGCAGGGACAGGUGAUUUCUAGGCGUAUUACCAUUAGAUCAAGAUUAAUCCACCAUCAUUGUUAAUCUGAUUAAAAACGCUAUCCACCUUUGCAGAGGUGACAGAGGCACCACUCUUUCAAGCCCAAUGGGAGAAGCGUAUGGACUACUGUAAACCAGAGGCAGUCAGUGCUCCUCUGGGACACUGGGAGAGUGUCCAAGACAAACGUUUUGUUGACAAAUGAAAUGCGAUUUAAAUAAAUAUUUAUUCGGAAUGAAUCAAAAUGACUCCACAAAGGCCUGUGUGUCAUUUGUUCAUUCCAUUUUGGUUGAAAUGAAGAUAAUAAAAAAAACAUAUUCCAUAACACAAAAAUAACAAGUGAUGUUUUAUUCACUUGAUUUUUGCACAGAAAAAAAUGAAAAAAGUUGAAUAUUUUGUUUCCCAUAGACUGAUGCAUUCAAUGGUCAACGUAACAGCCUCCAUAAAUAUAAAGAUUUCUCCAAAAAAUAAUUCAAAUGGGAGCUUUUGUCUAGUGUCGCACACUCACUUUGGCUAAAGGUUACUGACACAACACAAUAGAAAUAGUCCGCCACAAUUUUGAUGCCCACUUUGUUUUAACAUGCCAAUGUAGCACACAACAUGGCUGCAUCAUCUCCCUGCACUUUACUCUCUUUGAAUAGUACCAGUCUCCACAUGUUGCUCCUCAUGAGUUACUACUUAGGUACGACUAUCAGUGUGGGAGAGAAAAUGCAGGAUUCAAAUCAGACCCCUGAUUUCUUUUUUUCAUUUUUGUUAUUUUGUUUUCUGCAUGAAAACUGACUUUUGACUGUUUUAUGGAAAUUGCUUUAUAAAUGAGUAAAUGACAGACAGAUUGUGGCAACCCUAUGAAUCAUCUGAAGAUUACAUCACAUCACUUUGCUUGAUGCAAGAUAUGUUUUUGCAGUGGAGUAAAUAUAGGAACAAACACAUUUUCAAACUGACCUCUCGGGAGAUGAUGCCUGCUCGGCGGGCGCGGCUGCCCAACACGAAAGAGAACUCGCUGACCUGAGCCAGACCAGCGGAGACGAUCCAGCGAAUGCGUCGCAAGCUUGGAGGUAAGAUGACUGACAGCACCAGCACGGCCAUCAUGAACUGGGAGAAGAACAGAAUGAAGAGGAGUCCGACCCCGACGUGAACAAUGACGGACAGACAAGUGACGCCUACCUUCAUAAUCACGAGGGAGAAGGUGAGCACCAGCAGGAUGGUGAGUUCAUACAGCACGAACGUGGGGAAGACGUGGAGACCUGAGGUGGUCGGACGCCGUUGUUUAACCAUAUUCAUGCUUUCAUUUGUUACAAAAUCUCACCGAUUGAGGCGAAGAAAAUGAUGGCAAGGAAAUCCCGGAUUGGUUCGAAGCAUCCCAUGACCUCUGCUGUGACCAUGUGACCUUGGGUGGAGAGCAAUGCCCCUGCCAGGAAGCAGCCCAGUUCCAUGGAGACAUCCAGGAAAUCUGUCACCUUCAAAUGACAAAGUGACAACAGUCAUCUGCGUGGCAGGAUGGCUGCAAACAGGAAAGCCUACCGUGAGCAUAAAAAAAACAAAAGCCGCCAUCCCGAGAACCAGGAUCUCCUUGUUGCCUUUGCUCUCCAUGUGUAGUUUUCUGUAAAACGGAGCCACGACGUAGGACUUGAGCAAGAGACACAGCAGAAGCACAGCAGCCAGCGACACCAGGACCUGUGCCAGCAGGGACAGGAGGUGCAGGCUCUCGAAAAGGAAGCUGUGGCAGACAGUGGGUUUUGAGCAAGAGCACGCAAGGAGGACGGAGCGUGACUCACUGACCCGUCCACCUCUCCCCCGGGAGCCUGGAUCAGAGUGGGCAUCACGGCGAUGAAGAAGCCGAGCUGGACGUCCUGCAUCACCAACAUGCCGAGGAGAAUGCUGCUGUAGUCCAGUUCCCCUGUCACAGCCGCAACGACGGCAGAAUAAAAAUAGCAUUCUGUUAUUAUUACUGCUUAUUACCAUGCUAAAUGUUUCAGACUAACUGGACCCUCAUUGAGAGUUGACCUG